AUUGAUACCAUUCUAAAUAAUAUUUGAAAAUUAUUAUUUGGAUCUUCAAAUCUCCAAAAAGCUCAUGUCUUCAAGGCUUAGUAACCAGCUGAUGACACUAGUGGAAGGUGAUGGAAACUUUACCAAGUGGUACAUUGUUAGAAGAAGUUAGGUCAUUAAGGGGUUGGCCUUGAAGGAGAUGUUGGGACCCUGACUCCUCUUUCUUUUCUUCUUGGUCACCAUGAAGUGAUCUGAAUUGGUCCAUCACUCACUCCCCACCAUGAUGUUCUGCCUCACCAUAUGACCAAAGCAGUUGGGACCAAAUAACUAUGGACUGAAACAUCUGAAACUAAACAAAGGUAGGCAUAAGCUGCCACCACUAUCCCAUUUUAGAGAAGAAGACACUGAUACACAGAGAAGAUACCUUUGGAACCCACAUCUUCUGAUUGCCUGCUAAGCGGUCUUGACUUUUGGCCAAAGUAGGAAGCAGCUGGGCACAGUCUCAUAGGUUCCAAAGUACUUUAAAACUGUAAAUGAAGCAGUGUGUGGAGCCAGUAUGGAAUCUGGCAGAAGAAGAACAUGCGGUGAAGUUUUGACAAAUAACUGCAUUCAUACAUAGACACUAUAACAACAGUGUUUGGAAAGCAUGAUUGGUGGCCCAAAACAGUCAUUGCUUGUUCUUGAUUUGGUGAAAAAUAAAGGUAUGUGUCUUCACCUGCUUGUUCCUUGAUGUCCCAGCCAUUUCUUUCAUGACACUUUCAUAGGCUGUGGGGACUGGGAGCCUCAAAAUAGCAGACAAAAAUAACCAAAUUAUAUGUGUUUCAAUGAUAUUAGGAUGUGCUUUUUUAGAAUGGCUAUAGAGGACUGGACUGUACCUCCCCAGUCUUAGAAAAUAUAGUAAUUCCAGUAUUCCUAAUCUUCUGGGAAUAUGGCAAGACUAAGCAUAGCAUAGUCCCUGUUCAACUGAAUGUUAGAUGUUUGCAAGUUUGAUAUGGGACAAUAUAGCUAUUAUUACUGUUGUUAUUCAUAAGUAUAAUGUGUAUGCAACUCAAUAUAGGUAAAUACUUAACAUACUUAUUAGUAUGUGAUAGAUGCUUAAGAAAUAGCAGUCAUUGCAGUAAUACCUUGGUUUACAAAUGCUUCUGUUUGCAAACAACUUGGUUGGCAAACAGAAGUGUUCGGCAAAUUUUGGAUCCAUUGAUGAAUUCCGCUUCAGGUGAUGAACACAACCACAGCCAUCUUCCCCCUCAAGAAAAACAAAUGCGGACAUCUUCCCCAGAAUCAUGGAACAAAACCACUGUAUUUCAAAUAUAUCAUUGCAUUUAUCACUCACAGGUCUCCUAGUAGGUAACUGUUUUUAGUGCAAUCUGCAAAUGAGGAAAGAACCAGAGAAGAAAUGUGACAUAUAAACCGAUAGAACUCAACACAACAGGAAUAAAUAUCACAUCUAAUUCCAAAGUACACCCUCUUCAUGUUAAAAAUAUCCACCAAAGCAGCUAAAAUGAAAAGGACUGAUAGUAUGAAAGCAUGGAGCAAUUGGACCUUGAGUACCCUGCUAGGGAAAUGUAAUCCACUUUGGAGCAACAUUAGAGACCUGAACUUAAAUUGACCAUCUUCACAUCUUACAUUCCCACAUUUCUAGGCACAGCAAUAGAAAUACAUGGCAUAGAUUUAGAAGAACUCUGUAAGAAUAUUCAUAGAUUGCUCAAUUAUUUAUACUUGCUCUAAACUAGAAACAAUCAGAAUGUUUAUCAUCUGAAGAAUGUGUAUAAUAAUUGUACUAUGUUCAUACAAUGCAGUGCUGUGCAACUUUAAAAAUGAAGAAACUCCCAUGACAGUCAACUACAUGGAUGACGAUAUUAGAUAUAAAGUGAAAGAAAGAAGGAGAAAGAAGGUAGGUAUUUAAAAAGUCUAUUUGAUAGAUGUUUGUAUGAAACUCAAAAACGGGCAAAUGUCAACUAUUAUAUUAGAUGGUGAAAUAAUAGUUACCCUUGGGGAAGAGAUAAUGAUUGGAAGAAGAUAUGAAUUGAAUAUCUGGCAUAACUAGAAAUGUUCUGAGUCUUGUUAUGAGUGCUGUUACACGAGUAUGUUCACUUUGUCAAAUAUUAACUUGUACUUAUGAUUGCCAAAUUUUGCUAUAUGAAGUUUUCUUGCAAGAUUUAAAUUUUUAACAAUACAUCUUAGAGCAGUUUUAGCUUCACAACAAAGUUGAGAGGAAACAAUGAAAUGUGCCACACAGCCUCUGCCCCCAUGUAUGCAUCACCUGCACCAAGAUCAAUUCUUCCCCCCUAGAGUGGGAUAUUGUUACAACUGGUUAACUUGUCAUUGUCUCUUCAGGUCCAUAGUUUACAUUAGAGCUUAUUCUUGGUGUUGUUGAACAUUCUAUGUACUUGGACAAAUAACAACAUGUAUCUACAAUUGUAGUAUUACAUAGAACAGUUUUGAUGCCCUAAAAUCAUCUCUCCCUGCUCCAAAGCCCUAGUAACCUCUGAUUUUGUUUUCUUACUAUUUCGUAGUUUUGACCUUUCCAGAAUGCCAUGUAGUUGGAUUCAUACAGAAUGUGUAGCAUUUGCAGAUUGACUGCUUUCCUUAGUAAUGACCAUUUAAGUUUCCUCUUGGUUUGAUAGUUAUUUCUUUCAGUAAUAAAUAAUAUUCUAUUGUCUGGAUGUACCAUUGUUUAUCUAUUCACCUACUGAAGGACAUCUUGCUUGUUUUCAAGUUUGGGCAGUUGUGAAUAAAGCUGUUAUAAACAUCUGUGUGUGGGUUUUUGUCUGGACACAUGUUUUAAACUCCUUUGGGCAAAUAUCAAAGACUGUGCUUUCUGAAGUGUAUGGUAAGACUAUGAUUAGUUUUGUAACAAUCCAUCAUGCCAUUUUUCAAAUUGACUGUGAGAGUUCCUUUUGAUCUACACUCUUACCAAUAUUUAGCGUGGUCAGUGUUCUUGAUUUCAUCAAUUCUAAUCAAUAUGUAGUGAUAUCUGAUUACUAUUUCAAUGUGCAUUUGCUGAUGACAUGGGAUGUGGAACCUGUUUUCAUAAGCUCACAUCUCUCAGUUUUAUACCUUCUUUGAUAAGGUGUCCGGUAAGGUCUUUGGUUGUUACCCUUCUCAUGUUGAGUUUUGAGAGGUCUUUGUGUAUUUUGGUUAACAGCUCUUCAUCAGAUGUGCCUUUUGUUAAUAUUGUCUUCCCUUCUGUGGCUUGCCUUUUUCUUAUUUUGAUUUUCUUUUGGUAGAGCAAAAAGUUUUAAUUUUAAAGAAUUCCUGUAUAAUCAUGUCAUUAUUUUUUAAUGGGUCAUGUCUUUGAUAUUGCAUCUAAUAAGAUAUUGCUAAGCCGAUGUCAUCUAUAUUUUCUUCUAUGUGUCUUCUAAGAGUUUUUUAGCUUUUAUUUUAUAUUUAGGUCUGUGAUCUAUCCAUUGGGAGCUAAUGUUUAUAAAGUAUAUAAUGUCUGUUUGAAUUUUUCUUCUGCAUGAGGAUUUCUAGUUGUCCCAGCAUCCUUUACUGAAAACAAUGUCUUUUCUCCAUUGCAUUGGCUUUUUUUUUUUUUUUGGUUCUUUUGUUGAUG
rnacentral:lncRNA from 1 species